rnacentral:lncRNA from 1 species
ACUGUACGUUCCAAUCCGUUAACGUUAUUACCGAUGGAGGAUAGUUGUCGUUUUUUGAGCUACGAGUCGACUAAGUUUACUCCACAAUAUCACAUUUUUCGUUGACAAAAAUCGAGUGUUGUUUUAUCCAACGGAUCACCACACUACACACUGCAACCGGACCACGUGGAUUCUUCACAGUCCACGGCCAAGUCUGUCAACCACCAUGAGAUUAUUGUACGGGUUUUUAAUCAUCAUGCUAACUAUCCAUCUCAGCGUUCAAGAUAUCGAUCCAAACACUUUAAGAGGGCCAUACCCAACGAAAGAAAUUUGUAGUAAGUAUUGUGAAUACAAUGUAGUCUGCGGUGCCAGUUUACCCUGUAUAUGUGUUCAAGACGCAAGGCAGCUUGAUCAUUGGUUUGCUUGCUGCUAUGACGGAGGGCCAGAAAUGCUGAUGUGAUAAGUAUUGUAAUUUACUCUGCGGUGACGGUAUCCCCUGUUCGUAUUUACAAUACAAAUCGUUGAAUGUCCUGGGAUAUCCUCACUGUGGCAACUAACAAUUAUAAGUUACUGGGUAUGUGAGUUUGUAGGAAAAUUCAUUUGUAUUAACUAAUUUAUUGUAAUACAUAGUGACAGCUUAUUCUUAUCACAACGAUUGAAUUAUGUACCAAUGAAUACAUACAUUUGUAAGACAAUACAAAUAAUUAAAAAUAUUUUUUUCUUUUCUAUAAAAAUUGAUUGACGUUUACAGAUUUUAAAUUAUUCCUCUAACGCAUUUUUUAAGGAUUUUGAUUGCUUCAUAUCCUACUUAUUACCAAUUCAAUAUACGUUUUAACUGGUACUAGAUUCUUAGAAAUAUUUUAUAGACGAUUUCCUAUGCUUAUGCCGUCAACGAGUAGUAGUGCUAGUAGUAAAUAAUCAUUGUACAAAUGUGUUUCUAUCUCAUUAAAUAGUUAUUACCACAAUUCCUUUAUUCACUCAUUACAAUAUACUUAUACCUACAUUCUUUGUUUCCGAUGUAUACUAUUAAACCACUAUUUUAAACAUUUAUUCUAUAUUUCAAUAUUUUGUUGUAUAAUGAAUUUGUUUGUACUUAGUUCUUUAAUUGUUGAGUUAUAAUAGAUAAUAUUAUGUCCUAGAGCUGAUAAAAAAAACCAUGUAUUUACGUAAAAAAUAAUAAUGAAAUCUGUAAUUAGAAAAAUGUAUCUAAAACUAAUUAUGAUUGUACAAGUAUGUUAAACAAUAAAUGUAUGUAUUAUAUUAAAUUGACUAACACAAUAUAUUAUGAUAUGUUCUUACUACUUAAAUAUUUGUUCUUGUUGCUAUUGAGAAGCUGUAGUUAUUUUGUUUGAAUAAAUAUAAUUAUUUUGGUCAAAAAAAAAAAAAAAA